rnacentral:rRNA from 1 species
CCUACGGGUGGCAGCAGUAGGGAAUCUUGCACAAUGGAGGAAACCCUGAAGCAGCAACGCCGCGUGGAGGAUGAAGGUUUUCGGAUUGUAAACUCCUUUUGUUAGAGAAGAUAAUGACGGUAUCUAACGAGUAAGCACCUGCUAACUCCGUGCCAGCAGCCGCGGUAAUACGGAGGGUGCAAGCGUUCCUCGGAAUCAAUGGGCGUAAAGAGCGCGGAGGCGGGAUAGCAAGUCAGAUGUGAAGGCCUAUGGCUUAACCAUAGAACUGCAUUUGAAACUGUUAUUCUAGAGUACGGGAGAGGUAGGUGGAAUUCGUGGUGUAGGGGUAAAAUACGUAGAGAUCAAGAGGAAUACGCAUUGCGAAGGCGACCUGCUAGA